rnacentral:rRNA from 1 species
CCUACGGGUGACAGCAGUGGGGAAUAUUGGGCAAUGGGCGCAAGCCUGACCCAGCAACGCCGCGUGAAGGAAGAAGGCUUUCGGGUUGUAAACUUCUUUUCUCAGGGACGAAGCAAGUGACGGUACCUGAGGACUAAGCCACGGCUAACUACGUGCCAGCAGCCGCGGUAAUACGUAGGUGGCAAGCGUUAUCCGGAUUUACUGGGUGUAAGGGGCGUGUAGGCAGGAAAGCAAGUCAGAUGUGAAAACCAUGGGCUCAACCUGUGGCCUGCAUUUGAAACUGUUUUUCUUGAGUACUGGAGAGGCAGACGGAAUUCCUAGUGUAGCGGUGAAAUGCGUAGAUAUUAGGAGGAACACCAGUGGCGAAGGCGGUCUGCUGGACAGCAACUGACGCUGAGGCGCGAAAGCGUGGGGAGCAAACAGGAUUAGAUACCCCUGUAGUC